AUGGCUCGGACUUCUGGAAGUCAGUGCACUUCACUGACUACAGCCAGCACACUCAGAUGGUCAUGGCCCUGACACUCCGCUGCCCACUGAAGCUGGAAGCUGCCCUCUGCCAGAGGCAUGACUGGCAUACCCUUUGCAAAGACCUCCCGAAUGCCACGGCUCGAGAGUCAGAUGGAUGGUAUGUUUUGGAGCAGGUGGACCUGCACCCCCAGCUCUGCUUCAAGGUACAACCAUGCGUAAGAAAAGAUGUGGCGUAGUGGGUAUUGCCUGGAGCUUGCUAACCUGCCAUUCCUGUAUUUCUCAGUUCUCUUUUGGAAACAGCAGCCAUGUUGAAUGCCCCCACCAGACUGGUGAGCCAAUAAGUGACCUCUGCUGGGACCCCCUGCCCCAUUUCAUCCUCACCCAACUGUGACCAAGCUAAACCCCAGCCCAGCCUUGAAUUCAUCACCUGAAGC
rnacentral:sRNA from 1 species